UUGCCAGGGCAGGAGGUGGAA
rnacentral:miRNA from 1 species